rnacentral:lncRNA from 1 species
CCUGGCUGCACCCCUCCUAGGCCCCAUUAAGGGCUGACUCCCAAGGAGGAAGGAUCUCUAUCUGGAGAUUGCUCCUCUUGGAGCCCUUCUGUGAGCCCAGGACACAGCCUUUUCAUCUUGUGAGAGUCUUCCUGAUGCUUGCAGUGGAGUCUGAAGAGAAAUAAGCUUUGAUCUCUGUCUCCUGAAGUGCUUUCUCACCAUCAGUACAGUUCCAGGAUUCAGAAAUACUGGUUGCAACUGACAUGCCGUGAGUCCAUCUGGGACUGCAGACCCUGUUGUUAUGGUGGCCUCCAGUGGGAGCUGUGGUGCAGACUGUGAUCCAUGAUGGGGUGAUGAGCGGUGCAGCUGUUGCCAGAUAAGGGGUAGACUGGGAAACCUCCAAACUUCCAUGAGGUGUCUAGGGAUGGAGGCUUUGGUGUAAGAACACCCAUCUGAAAUGAUUUGCAUCACAUUGCUGUGCUGUGGCAUCAGCUUCCCUGCGUGACUGAGCUCAAUGGGAUGAGCUGUGCUGUGAUGGGAGGUGAGAUGAUGACAUGCUAGAACAGGACUGAGGGGUUGCUGGGAUGGACCUUGGAGCUUCACAUCUGCUCCUGUCUAUCUGUGAUGGGGAAGGUGAUCCACAGGUCCUGUGGGAGACAGAACAUGGCAUUUAUGAGUGAUUUUCCAUUCAGGGGCUAUUUAACACAAUACAAAGGGGCAGAACCAAUGAUAUUGUUCAAUACUCAGAAGGAAGAAAUGACUUGUCAAUCCUGGAGACACUAGCCCUGAGAAGAUAAUAAGCAGACCUGCCUUACAUGAGGCCAUCCACAGCAAUUUGACUUGGAAUCACAAUGACAAAGUGCAUUUUCACAAUGAAAUGCCCCAGCUGGGGCUCAGCUGCAUCCUGGAGCAUGGCACAAGGGUGAUCCCAGUGGAGAACCAGGACCUCAUGAGACAGUGAGACCAGGCAAAGGGAAGGACUGCAAACCCUGCUGCCCUCUGGUCCCCUCUGCCCUGGGCAGCAGAGGGCCUCCUAUUGAUUUGGAACUGCUUAUCUGAGUGACCAGACUUAUGCUGGUUUGACUGAGAGGAGAACCCAGGAUGUGGCUGACUGGGAGGAGGAGUGGUUCCCUCUGCAGCCAUGCCUUGCUAUGUAUUCCUUCAGGGUCAGCUGCUGCUCCUUGCCAGGGAUGACACCUCCCUUUGACCCCCUGAAGGCAGGACCCGAGAUGCUGCCUGUAUGGUUUCAUUAGCAGCAACUCCUCCCACAGCUGUGCAGCACCUCACA